rnacentral:rRNA from 1 species
GGUGCUUGCAUCAUGAUUUACAUUUGAGUGAGUGGCGAACUGGUGAGUAACACGUGGGAAACCUGCCCAGAAGCGGGGGAUAACACCUGGAAACAGAUGCUAAUACCGCAUAACAACUUGGACCGCAUGGUCCGAGUUUGAAAGAUGGCUUCGGCUAUCACUUUUGGAUGGUCCCGCGGCGUAUUAGCUAGAUGGUGGGGUAACGGCUCACCAUGGCAAUGAUACGUAGCCGACCUGAGAGGGUAAUCGGCCACAUUGGGACUGAGACACGGCCCAAACUCCUACGGGAGGCAGCAGUAGGGAAUCUUCCACAAUGGACGAAAGUCUGAUGGAGCAACGCCGCGUGAGUGAAGAAGGGUUUCGGCUCGUAAAACUCUGUUGUUAAAGAAGAACAUAUCUGAGAGUAACUGUUCAGGUAUUGACGGUAUUUAACCAGAAAGCCACGGCUAACUACGUGCCAGCAGCCGCGGUAAUACGUAGGUGGCAAGCGUUGUCCGGAUUUAUUGGGCGUAAAGCGAGCGCAGGCGGUUUUUUAAGUCUGAUGUGAAAGCCUUCGGCUCAACCGAAGAAGUGCAUCGGAAACUGGGAAACUUGAGUGCAGAAGAGGACAGUGGAACUCCAUGUGUAGCGGUGAAAUGCGUAGAUAUAUGGAAGAACACCAGUGGCGAAGGCGGCUGUCUGGUCUGUAACUGACGCUGAGGCUCGAAAGUAUGGGUAGCAAACAGGAUUAGAUACCCUGGUAGUCCAUACCGUAAACGAUGAAUGCUAAGUGUUGGAGGGUUUCCGCCCUUCAGUGCUGCAGCUAACGCAUUAAGCAUUCCGCCUGGGGAGUACGGCCGCAAGGCUGAAACUCAAAGGAAUUGACGGGGGCCCGCACAAGCGGUGGAGCAUGUGGUUUAAUUCGAAGCUACGCGAAGAACCUUACCAGGUCUUGACAUACUAUGCAAAUCUAAGAGAUUAGACGUUCCCUUCGGGGACAUGGAUACAGGUGGUGCAU